rnacentral:lncRNA from 1 species
GGGACUUCCGGCCUCGCUGGCGUGGACGUUUGUGGUGGGGCGUGUUGGUCCGCGCUCUCAGAACUGUGCUGGGAAGGAUGGUAGGGCGACUGGGGCUCACCUCCGCACCGUUGUAGGACCCGGGGUAGGGUUUUGAGCCCGUGGGAGCUGCCCCACGCGGCCUCGUCCUGCCAACGGUCGGAUGGCGGAGACGAAGGACGCAGCGCAGAUGUUGGUGACCUUCAAGGAUGUGGCUGUGACCUUUACCCGGGAGGAGUGGAGACAGCUGGACCUGGCCCAGAGGACCCUGUACCGAGAGGUGAUGCUGGAGACCUGUGGGCUUCUGGUUUCACUAGGGCAUCGGGUUCCCAAACCAGAGUUGGUCCACCUGCUAGAGCAUGGGCAGGAGCUGUGGAUAGUGAAGAGAGGCCUCUCACAUGCUACCUGUGCAGGUGACAGAGCACAAGUUCAUACCAGAGAGCCAACCACUUACCCGCCAGUCUUAUCUGAGCGGGCCUUUCUCCGGGGAAGCCUGACUCUGGAAUCUUCAACCUCAAGUGAUUCGAGGUUGGGGAGAGCUAGGGAUGAGGAAGGGCUUUUGGAAAUGCAGAAAGGUAAAGUGACACCGGAGACAGACCUCCACAAGGAGACCCAUCUUGGGAAAGUGAGCCUUGAAGGUGAAGGUUUGGGGACAGAUGAUGGUCUGCACUCCAGGGCAUUACAAGAGUGGUUAUCAGCAGAUGUUCUCCAUGAAUGUGACUCACAGCAACCAGGGAAAGACGCCUUGAUUCAUGCAGGGACAAACCCCUACAAAUGCAAGCAGUGUGGGAAAGGUUUUAACAGGAAGUGGUAUCUCGUUCGACAUCAGAGGGUUCACACUGGAAUGAAACCCUAUGAAUGCAAUGCAUGUGGGAAAGCCUUUAGCCAGAGCUCAACUCUCAUUCGGCACUACCUCAUCCACACCGGGGAGAAACCAUACAAGUGCCUUGAGUGUGGGAAGGCCUUCAAACGCAGGUCGUACCUCAUGCAGCACCAUCCAAUCCACACUGGAGAGAAACCCUAUGAGUGUAGUCAAUGUCGAAAGGCCUUCACCCACCGGUCUACUUUUAUUCGCCAUAAUAGGACCCACACUGGAGAAAAGCCCUUUGAGUGCAAAGAAUGUGAGAAAGCCUUUAGCAAUAGAGCCCACCUAAUUCAACAUUACAUCAUCCACACUGGAGAGAAGCCCUAUGAUUGCAUGGCAUGUGGAAAGGCCUUCAGAUGCAGCUCAGAACUCAUACAGCACCAGCGGAUUCACACUGGGGAGAAGCCCUAUGAAUGCACCCAGUGUGGGAAAGCCUUUCACCGGAGCACGUACCUCAUUCAGCACUCUGUCAUCCACACUGGGGAGAUGCCCUACAAGUGUAUCGAGUGUGGGAAGGCCUUCAAACGCAGGUCACACCUUCUGCAGCACCAAAGGGUCCAUACAUGAGAGAACCCUAUUGCUGCAAUGAAUACAGCAAGGCCUUUACCCACUGUUAUUUUAUCAUUCAUAAUGGGACCCACACUGUAGGAAGAAGUCCUUCGAAUGCAAAGAAUGUCAGGAAACUUUUCAUUUUUUUUGUCAGCUCUUUCUUAACUAACACAUGAGCAGUCACUUUGGAGAGAAGCCCUGUGAAUACAGUGAAUGUAAGGAUCCCUUCAGUCACCACUCAGUUCUCACUCAUUGCAGAAGGAUUCAUACCAGGGGGAAAUGUGGAAGGCAUUCCAUCAACAUCAGAGAACUCAUGCUGGAGAAAGACAUUCCAAAUAUAACUAUUAAGGACAGUCUUUGGCCAGAGCAGAAAUCUUACUAUCUGAGAAUCAUAAUGAAAAGUUACUACAUAAUUGUUAUUGAUGUGAGAAAACUUUGUGACCAGGUUGUCACUUGCUUGUCCUAUAAAGAGCCAUGCUGGAAUUUGACCCACCUUGGGAUUUUCUCUAUGAACUUAUGAAAACCUUCAGUUACAGGACAGAGUGCACAGUUUCCUCUCCUGUGGGAAGGAGAGUUGACUCUUGAGGACCCCCACCCUCCUGCAUCCUCUCUCUGGAAGGCUGCAUGUAUUGUAGCUGUGGCUGUACUUGUACCUAAGGCCCUGGGUUCAAGAGAGUUGGAGAAACCCCUCUAGAAACAUAUUGGCUGUCAUCAAAGGGUUCUUUCCAGGCCUGAGGACCUAGGCCCCAGUUUGUCCCAAAGCAGGAGUGUUUUCCAUGGGAUAAAGGACACCCUAGGUUUUUCUUAGCUUCCAGCUCUUUCCAUACAGUCUUCACUGAAGUGUUUGGUACAAGGAUCUACUAUGAACUUGCUGCUGUGAUAGGCAAGAAUCUCAUGAGACACCUGUCAUUUAGCUCCAUGGCCACUCACUGUUGUGGUCAUACUUAGAAGAGUGGGAUGCAGUGGAUGGCUGGGCUAUGGGUCCUGCCCUUGAGCAGGGAAGGAACUUACUGUCUAAUAUAGGAAAAACACAUGAGAACAGGUGCAAUAUAUUGACUUAAACUUGUUUAGCACCCGUUUUUAAGUCAGUAGAAGUUUUGAACUUACAGUAAAAGUUGUGAACUUCUGUAUGUUUUCCACAGUUUAUGAUUGAGGUAAAACAUGUUUUUUGUUUUGUUUUUGAGACAGAGUUUCACUCUUGUUGCCCAGGCUGGAGUGCAGUGGCGCCAUCUCAGCUCACUGCAACUUCUGCCUCCCGAGUUCAAGGGAUUCUCCUGCCUCAGCCUCCCGAGUAGCUGGGAUUACAGGCGCCCACCACCAUGCCCGGCUAGUUUUUUUGUAUUUUUAGUAGAGACGGGGUUUCACCAUGUUGGCCAGGCUGGUCUUGAACUCUUGACCUCAUGUAGUCCACCCGCCUCUGCCUCCCAAAGUGCUGCGAUUACAGGCGUGAGCCACCGUGCCCGGCAGAGAAAAACUGCUUAAGGUUGAAAAGAGAAAUUUAAGAAAUUGCUGACGGAAUAAAAACAUAAUAGAACUACAACACCGAAGGAAAUGAAAGAAGCAAGAAGGAAAGCACCAGAAGUGAUUUGGAAGAGAAAUCCUAAAAUGAAUGUGAACAACAGAGUGAUCAGAAGAGUGUAGGGAAUUAAUAGUUUCUUUAAACAAGCCAUCUCACAAUGGAAGCCUGUGUGUCUUGAAAUUGCUGUGGUUAUUAUUCACUCUGCCCUUUGAAGAACUGCAGAAAUUCAUAGGGCAAUGUUAAGUGUUUGUGUCUCCAAAAAAGAUGUUGGAGUCGUUACCCUCAGAACCUCAGGUAAUCAUGUUAGUUAAUCCAUUAGGUUAGUUCCUAAUUGACUAUGACUGUGUCCUUAGAAAAAUGGGAAAUUUGGUCACAGAGGCAGAUGUACAGAGGGAAGACGAUGUGAAGACACAGGAAGAACAUCUUCAAGCCAAGGAACACACGGGGCUACCAGAAGCCGAGAUAGAAGCAUGGAACAUAUGUUCUAGUAAGAAGUGUCUGGGUUGUUUUGGUUUUUUUUCUUUGGAGUUUUUGUGGUAUUAAAUUAUUUUUAAAUUAUGUUUUAUUGUAGACCUCACAAUUCUUUUUUUUUCUUUUUCACUCAAACUACAGCAAAAUAUUAUAUUUCUAUCCUAUAUUUCAUGGGCUUACCUCUAGCCAAUUGUUUUUAACUGCCAUGUAAUAUUUUACAUCAUGAAGCUUUCAUCCUUGAUUCAAAUCCUCUGAUUAUGGACAUGUAUUUCCUCCAUUUUCCUGCUAUGAAAUAUAUCACCACCAGCUUGAUUCAACCUUAAAAAUAAGGUCAUCAGUAUUAUGUUCUAAAUAAACUUAUGGCCAUACAUGAGAAAUGUACCUUGCAGCUGAAUGGCUAGGUCAUAUGGUGAUCUAGUAUGUAACUGGAAUUAUGUUAUACAUUGCCCUUCCUCUCCCAUAAGAUGGACAAAAGUGUUUCUGUAUCACUGUGUCCCAGACAAUAUUUAGAAUUACCCAGCUUUCCAGUUUUUACUUUAGAAGUUUAAAGUGAUAUAGAAUAUAUCUGGUAUUUCUCAUAUUGAAAUACAUUUGAACAUUAGUUCAUAUCCUUUCAUUGCCUUUUGUUUUUCCUCUUCUGUCAAUGGUCUACUCAUAUGUUGGCCUGUCUUUAUUUGUAUCUUGACUUUUUAUUGUGUAUUUUGUUUAUGGUGGGGUACUUUAUUGGUGAUUAAUACGAUUUUCAAGUAUAUUAUAUGGGCUAGUCCCUUGAUACUAUUGACACUGUAUUUAUCUUCAGUCUCUUGUUGGUAUCUAACUUUGGUUCUGAAGUUUAUGGAAUGGAAGUAUUUAAUUGGAAAGAUUAAACAUAUUGAUUUUAAUU